UGGUGCUCAUUUUCCCACUCUGGGUGA
rnacentral:piRNA from 1 species